UACGAAGGGGGGCUAGCGUUGCUCGGAAUUACUGGGCGUAAGGGAGCGUAGGCGGGUUAUCAAGUUGGGGGUGAAAGCCCGGGGCUCAACCUCGGAAUUGCCUUCAAAACUGAUAACCUGGAGUAUGGAAGAGGUAAGUGGAACUCCGAGUGUAGAGGUGAAAUUCGUAGAUAUUGGGAAGAACACCGGUGGCGAAGGCGGCGACCUGGUCCUUGGACUGACGCUGAGGCGCGAAAGCGUGGGGGAGCAAACAGG
rnacentral:rRNA from 1 species